rnacentral:rRNA from 1 species
GACGAACGCUGGCGGCGUGCUUAACACAUGCAAGUCGAGCGGUAAGGCCCUUUCGGGGGUACACGAGCGGCGAACGGGUGAGUAACACGUGGGUGACCUGCCCUCAGCUCUGGGAUAAGCCCGGGAAACUGGGUCUAAUACCGGAUAUGACUCCAUGACGCAUGUUGUGGGGUGGAAAGCCUUGUGCGGCUGAGGAUGGGCCCGCGGCCUAUCAGCUUGUUGGUGGGGUGAUGGCCACCAAGGCGACGACGGGUAGCGGGUGUGAGAGCACGGCCCGCCGCAUCGGGACUGAGACACUGCCCGGACUCCUACGGGAGGCUGCAGUAACGAAUCUUCCGCAAUGCGCGAAAGCGUGACGGAGCAAUGCCGCGUGCAGGAUGAAGCCCUUCGGGGUGUAAACUAGCUGUCAGGGUGUAGCAACACAAUGAGCAGACCCAAAGGAAG